rnacentral:rRNA from 1 species
GAUGAACGCUGACAGAAUGCUUAACACAUGCAAGUCAACUUGAACUUCGGUUUGGGUGGCGGACGGGUGAGUAACGCGUAAAGAACUUGCCUCACAGAUAGGGACAACAUUUGGAAACGAAUGCUAAUACCUGAUAUUAUGAUUAUAUGGCAUCGUAUAAUUAUGACAGCUAUAUGCGCUGUGAGAGAGCUUUGCGUCCCAUUAGCUAGUUGGAGAGGUAACGGCUCACCAAGGCGAUGAUGGGUAGCCGGCCUGAGAGGGUGAUCGGCCACAAGGGGACUGAGACACGGCCCUUACUCCUACGGGAGGCAGCAGUGGGGAAUAUUGGACAAUGGACCAAGAGUCUGAUCCAGCAAUUCUGUGUGCACGAUGAAGUUUUUCGGAAUGUAAAGUGCUUUCAGUUGGGAAGAAAAAAAUGACGGUACCAACAGAAGAAGUGACGGCUAAAUACGUG